AUUUAACGCUGGCGGCAGGCCUAACACAUGCAAGUCUAACGAGUGGCGGACGGGUGAGUAAUGUCUGGUAAACUGCCUGAUGGCGGGGGAUAACUACUGGAAACGGUAGCUAAUACCACCUACCAUCAGCUGUGCCCAGAUGGGCUUAGCUUGUUGGUGGGGUAACGGCUCAACAAGGCGACGCACCCUAGCUGGUCUGAGAGGAUGACCAGCCACACUGGAACUGAGACACGGUCCAGGCUCCUACGGGAGGCAGCAGUGGGGAAUAUGGCACAAUGGGCGCAAGCCUGAUGCAGCCAUGCCGCUUGUAUGAAGAAGGCCUUCGGGUUGUAAAGUACUUUCAGCGGGGAGGCGUUACCCGCAGAAGAAGCACCGGCUAACUCCGUGCCAGCCGCCGCGGUAAUAC
rnacentral:rRNA from 1 species